rnacentral:lncRNA from 1 species
GUGCGGUCGCAGGGCCAUGAUCUCAUUGCCAUUACAGAGACAUGGUGGGAUAGCUCACAUGACUGGAGUGCUGUCAUGGAUGGCUACGUGCUUUUUAGGAAAGACAGGCCAGGAAAGCGAGGUGGUGGAGUUGAUCUUUAUGUGAGAGAGCAACUGGAAUGUAUUGAGCUGUGCCUAGGGGUGGAUGAAGAGCGAGUCGAGAGCUUAUGGGUAAGGAUUAAAGGGCAGGCUAGCAUGGGUGACACUGUUGUGGGUGUUUACUACAGGCCACCUGAUCAGGAAGAGGAAGUUGAUGAGGCCUUCUACAGACAGCUGGAAGUAGCCUCACAAUCCCAGGCCCUGGUUCUCAUGGGGGACUUCAACCACCCCGAUAUCUGCUGGAAAGACAACACAGCUAGGCACAAACAGUCCUGGAGGUUCCUGCAGAGCAUUGGUGACAACUUCUUGACACAGGUGGUGGAGGAGCCAACAAGGAGAGGUGUGCUGCUGGACCUCGUACUAACAAACAAAGAAGGACUGGUGGAAGAUGUGAAGGUUGGGGGCAGCCUUGGCUGCAGUGACCAUGAGAUGGUGGAGUUCAGGAUCCUGCGAGGAGGCAGCAGGGCACCAAGUAGGAUCGCAACCCUGGACUUCAGGAGAGCAAACUUUGGCCUCUUCAGGGACCUACUUGGAGGAAUCCCAUGGGUCAGGGCCCUAGAAGGAAGGGGUGUUCAAGAGAGCUGGUUAAUAUUCAAACAUCACUUCCUCCAGGCUCAAGAGCGGUGCAUCCCUAUGAGUAGGAAGUCAAGCAAAGGAGGUAGGAGACCUGUAUGGAUGAGCAAGGAACUCCUGGCAAAACUCAAGCAGAAGAAGGGAGUAUGCAGAAAGUGGAAAGGGGACAGGCCACUUGGGAGGAAUAUAGGAAUGUUGUCAGAGUAUGCAGGGAUGUGACGAGGAAGGCUAAGGCCCGUUUGGAAUUAAAUCUGGCGAGAGAUGUCAAGGACAGCAAGAAGGGCUUCUUCAAAUACAUCAGUAGCAAGAGGAAGACUAGGGAAAAUGUGGGGCCUUUGCUGAAUGGGGUGGGUGCCCUGGUGACGAAGGAUGCAGAGAAGGCAGAGUUACUGAAUGCCGCCUUUGCUUCAGUCUUUACUGCUCAGGCCAGCCCUCAGGAACCCCAGACCCUGGAGGCAAGAGAGAAAGUCUGGAGAAAUGAAGACUUUCCCUUGGUGGAGGAGGAGUGGGUUAGAGAUCAUUU